rnacentral:lncRNA from 1 species
AGAAAUCUUAAUUUCUUUAUUGUUUGACUUUCUGACUCAACAAUUUUUUUUAAACUUUUUGUUUUUUUCUGAAACGUUCUUGUUGUUAUGAGCCUUUUGUUUUGUUCUCGUUAAAUGCACUCGACCCAAAAUUGGUUUGGCAUAUCGAAAAGGAGACCAAGGAGGGAGGGGCUGGGGCGUGGGAGGCGGGAAGGAGGCCCGAAUGGACAGAAAGUUGAGGAUGAGAGAAGAGGAACAUAGAGACAGCGAGAAACACGUGGGGAAAGAGAGUUGGAGACAGAGAGAGAAAGGGAAGGCAAGGGAAAGCCAAAAGAAACCAAAAUCCAGAGAAAAAGAAUUAACAAGAUUUAGGAGCAAAUUUCAGGAGCCCAAGGAAGGGAGUAGGAGAGGAAACCAAGACCCUUCUCUGUACCGUCCCAGCUGGGGUGGGGGCGUCAAGGCACCAGGUCUGGUUAGGUUGGGGGGACACCUGGGCUCUGGGGGCAGCUUUGCACUGGACUGCAGUGGUGUCCAGCCCCAGCAGGGGGCCCUGCCACACAGCUCUGAGGCCUGGAAGCCACUGGGCGAUGCCGGCUGAAACAGGACUGAUACACCCUCUCUCCCUUUGAUUGUCCGAGUCUGGAGAAAUACAAGGAAGGCUGGGCAGGGAGGAAGUGAGCCUCCCUGUGUCUCUCAGUCCCCCUGGAACUCUCCCGGCCCUUCUCCUGGUGUCGGGGGCAGCCAUAGGCUGUAGCUGGGCUGCUGCCCGGGCCGGGCCGACUCUUUGCCUGCCCAUGACUCCUGCCCGCUCUUCACAGACCUCUGACUGCCCCUCCACACAAGAGCUCCUAGCCUAGUGCAGUCCAGGAAGGUCCAUGGAACUGUCCCCUGCCCUCCUCAGAGUCGUCUGGCAAGACUGUCCCUGGCCUCACUUCUCCUCCCCAUCUAGACUUCACCCAUAGUCUUCUGGUAUAAUGGGUUAGGCCUUUCUACUAGAAAAAGCCAGAGUUGGAACCCAACCCCACCUCUUCCCCACACCUGUUCCCUUACACGGGACAAACCACCAUCUUUGGUCUGACCCCUUCUCCCCUAAUUGAUGGGGACAAGCCAGCCCCAGCUCCCCAGGAGAAGGGAGGGGCUUUCUAGCAGCAAAAAGGGUCCCUCCAGCCACCUACCUGUCCCCUUCCCCCCAGUUCCUUCCUAGAGCCCCUCCCCCUUAACCCAACAAAGUUCAUGGCAGCAGCAGGCUGAGACCCGAAGAUGUUUGAAAACUCAUGGCACUUGUGAGAAAAGAAGGAGGGGCAAAGAGACGGGGAGAGGUCAGAGCAGAGGUGGACGGGCCACCUCUGGGGAAAUGGCAAUGCAGGGGCUGGGCUAAGGUGGCCUCAGGGCUAUGCUACCCCUAGAGUUGAGGGGAGGGGACUGGGGAGGCUGGGCUGACAGGCUGGAGAGGAGGGGCUGGGAGAGGUGCUCAGGAGACAUCCCAAGCCUGGAGCUUCCAGGGUCUGGGAUUUGGGGUCAAGCCCCCCCAGCACAUGGGUGUCCUGACCCCAGCCCUGGCACCUGGCUUCGUCCUCCCUGCGGGAAGGUGGAGGGUAGGGAAGGUGAUCUCUCACCUUUGCCCCUUCCCCCUCCCCCAGACGGAAGACCACGUUGCCACUCCAGCACCCUCCUCAGCCGUACCCAUGCCCUCCAUAACCCCAGUUCCUCCCCAUUUUCCCCCGGCCAUCAACCUCUCUAGGUGGGAAAUCAGCCCCAUUUUCCCCAGCUAGAGUCCCCAAAGCAAUAUACAAGCAGCAGGAACUCAAAGGGACAGCGCAGCCAUCUUGACAAAGCAUCUUUGGGUGUGAGGGGGUCUCCCCCGGGCCGAUGGGGAGGGAAGGGGGAGACAGGCCUCUGGUCCUGGGGCAGGCAGUGAGGUACACGCCCCAGGAGGGCUGAUGAUGCUGGGCAGGCAGAGCAGGAAAGGAGGGGACAGAAACGGGUGCCAGGAAGGAAAUGGGUUCUUUGUUUCGCUGUUGCAUCUAGAUUUUGUUUUCUGUCUCUGGAUUGUAAAAAGCUGCUCUGGCGGCCCGCCCGCCCCGGCGGGGACUGGGGAUGCACGUACACGGAGAAGUCCUGGCUGCCGGGCCGGCAGCGCCGCUCUGCUCCGGAGAAAGCCCAGGUUGGCCCGGGCCGCAGGCUCCCGGUGGCUUCAAGUGAUGAGAUUUUUUUUGUCUUUUUUUUUUUUUUUUUUUCUUUUUCCAUUUCGUUGAAAUAUUUACAGCAAUGGGGAAGGAGGAGGAGGAGAGAGGAAGGAGUAAGAGGGCCCCCUAGGGAAAGAUCCAAGCCCAGGACCCACUCCCCAGGGAGAUCCAGACCCAAAAUCUGCUCCCCAGAUAGCCGAGCCCACAGGACUGGGAACUGCCCAA